CCAUGACAACACGGAGGAGGAAAAACUGCUUUGUGUCUUUUUUGGCUUUUAUAAAUAAGGAAGGAGAAGUCAGGAUCCUUUCAAGCCAUGCAGAUGCUUUGCAAUGCUUUGAUAGUGCUAAAGGCUCUGUAGGACAUCAUAAGACAGCAAUCAAAAAUGCACUGGAUGGUCUUGACUUCUAGGGAUCUCGGUCAGGUCAGUGAUGCCAAAGCCAGCAGUGAAGCACAAGAAGGUGGUGCAUUUUAAAAGCAACACAUCAAAUAGUGUGAGGUUGCAAUGAGCUCAUUAUGUAUUCUUUUCCUCAGAUGCAUCAUCUUCUGCCCACCUCCUCCAUUCAGCUUACCAGUGCUGCCACAUGGGAUUUCUGCAAUAGCAGCUACAGCACCAUGGCAGGCUUCUCCGGGGCAAAUUCUCUCAGGGAUUUUAUAGCUUGCGUUGUGCAGAGUCUGAUUGGCAAAGCUGACCUACAGAGGAAAAGUAUACAUGCAGAAAAGUUGCAAAACUGGGAGACUCAAGAGAAGCAUGAUAGGAAUGAGAAGAAGCAACUGUCAAGUAGCCAAGGAAAGGUGUGGUGAAGAGAAGAUGGAGAAAAGUGUGCAGACCUGUGUGCCCUGAAAUCAUUAGUUUUGCCAUUGACAGUCUGAGAACCAGAUGAAUGACACUUUGUCAAGGGAAAGGGAAAGAAAAAAGAACAGAAAUAGGAAGUGAAGAAAAGAAAAGAGAAAGGGAGAGGAAGAAGUCACGUAGCAAAAUUAGCACUUGAAGUGUUCAAGAGAAUGAUAAACAGAAGGGACUGGGAGGAAGAGAAUAAGAGGGCAAAAAUUAAAAUUAAAAACAACUAGCAAGGCUAUCUAGUUUCUUUGUUAAUUAUUCCUACUCUGUGAACAGCUGGAAUAUUGUGAAUCUGGUUAAAUAUCUUGUAGAGCAGAACUUUUGCAAGUGAAUGCACUGAGGUAUAACUAUUUG
rnacentral:lncRNA from 1 species